CUUGAAACACGGACCAAGGAGUCUAGCAUGUGCGCGAGUCAUUGGGACUUGCGAAACCUAAAGGCGAAAUGAAAGUGAAGGCGUGCCUCGCGCGCGUCGAGGGAGGAUGGUCCGGGCCUCGGCCCGGUCUCGCACUCCCGGGGCGUUUCGUUCUCAUCGCGAGAUGAGGCGCACCCAGAGCGUACACGCUGGGACCCGAAAGAUGGUGAACUAUGCCUGGUCAGGACGAAGUCAGGGGAAACCCUGAUGGAGGUCCGUAGCGAUUCUGACGUGCAAAUCGAUCGUCGGAACUGGGUAUAGGGGCGAAAGACUAAUCGAACCAUCUAGUAGCUGGUUCCCUCCGAAGUUUCCCUCAGGAUAGCUGGCGCUCGCUUUGCGAGUCUCAUCCGGUAAAGCGAAUGAUUAGAGGCAUUGGGGUCGAAACGGCCUCAACCUAUUCUCAAACUUUAAAUGGGUGAGAUCUCCGGCUUGCUUGAAACGUGAAGCCGCGAGAUUAUAUUUUCGGAUCAGAGUGCCAAGUGGGCCAUUUUUGGUAAGCAGAACUGGCGCUGUGGGAUGAACCAAACGCAGAGUUAAAGCGCCCAAAUCGACGCUUAUGGGAUACCAUGAAAGGCGUUGGUAACUUAAGACAGCAGGACG
rnacentral:rRNA from 1 species